rnacentral:lncRNA from 1 species
GGGGAUACGGGGAUACGCAGUCAUUAAAAUGACGUAAUUAUUCGAGUAGUUUAAGAGGAGAAUGGGUAACUAUUAUUUUUCAAUGAUACGAGGAUACGCAGUCAUUAAAAUGACGUAAUUAUUCGAGUAGUUUAAGAGGAGAUUGGGUAACUAAUAUUUUUCAAUGAUACGGGGAUACUCAGGCAUUAAAAUGACGUAAUUAUUCGAGUAGUUUAAGAGGAGAAUGGGUAACUAUUAUUUUUCAAUGAUACGGGGAUACGCAGUCAUUAAAAUGACGUAAUUAUUCGAGUAGUUUAAGAGGAGAAUGGGUAACUAUUAUUUUUCAAUGAUACAGGGAUACGGGGAUACGCAGUCAUUAAAAUGACGUAAUUAUUCGAGUAGUUUAAGAGGAGAAUGGGUAACUAUUAUUUUUCAAUGAUACGGGGAUACGGGGAUACGCAGUCAUUAAAAUGACGUAAUUAUUCGAGGAGUUUAAGAGGAGAAUGGGUAACUAUUAUUUUUCAAUGAUACGGGGAUACGGGGAUACGCAGUCAUUAAAAUGACGUAAUUAUUCGAGUAGUUUAAGAGGAGAAUGGGUAACUAUCAUUUUUCAAUGAUACGGGGAUACGGGGAUACGCAGUCAUUAAAAUGACGUAAUUAUUCGAGUAGUUUAAGAGGAGAAUGGGUAACUAUUAUUUUUCAAUGAUACGGGGAUAUAGGGAUACGCAGUCAUUAAAAUGACGUAAUUAUUCGAGUAGUUUAAAAGGAGAAUGGGUAACUAUUAUUUUUCAAUGAUACGGGGAUACGGGGAUACGCAGUCAUUAAAAUGACGUAAUUAUUCGAGUAGUUUAAGAGGAGAAUGGGUAACUAUUAUUUUUCAAUGAUACGGGGAUACGGGGAUACGCAGUCAUUAAAAUGACGUAAUUAUUCGAGUAGUUUAAAAGGAGAUUUAUACUAAUGAGUAAUAUUUUGUGCAGGGUUUAGUUGAGAACGUGAGAAAUACAAUAUAUGAGUAAUAUUUCGUGCGGGGUUUAUUGAGAACGAGAACUACGAUAUAUGAGUAAUAUUUUGUGCGGGGUUUAUUGAGAACGAGAAUUACAAUAUAUGAGUAAUAUUUUGUGCGCGGUUUAGUUGAGAACGUGAGGAAUACAAUAUAUGAGUAAUAUUUUGUGCGGGGUUUAUUGAGAACGAGAAAUACAAUAUAUGAGUAAUAUUUUGUGCGGGGUUUAUUGAGAACGAGAAAUACAAUAUAUGAGUAACAUUUUGUGCGGGGUUUAUUGAGAACGAGAAAUACAAUAUAUGAGUAAUAUUUUGUGCGCGGUUUAGUUGAGAACGUGAGGAAUAUAAUAUAUGAGUAAUGUUUUGUGCGGGGUAUAUUGAGAACGAGAAAUACAAUAUAUGAGUAAUAUUUUGUGCGGGGUUUAUUGAGAACGAGAACUACAAUAUACGAGUAAUAUUUUGUGCGGGGUUUAUUGAGAACGAGAAAUACAAUAUAUGAGUAAUAUUUUGUGCGGGGUUUAUUGAGAACGAGAAAUACAAUAUAUGAGUAACAUUUUGUGCGGGGUUUAUUGAGAACGAGAAAUACAAUAUAUGAGUAAUAUUUUGUGCGCGGUUUAGUUGAGAACGUGAGGAAUACAAUAUAUGAGUAAUAUUUUGUGCGGUGUUUAUUGAGAACGAGAAAUACAAUAUAUGAAUAAUAUUUUGUGCGGGGUUUAUAGAGAAAGAGAAAUACAAUAUAUGAGUAAUAUUUUGUGCGGGGUUUAUUGAGAACGAGAAAUACAAUAUAUGAGUAAUAUUUUGUGCGGGGUUUAUUGAGAAUGAGAAAUACAAUAUACGAGUAAUAGUUUGUGCGUGGUUUAUUGAGAACGAGAAAUACAAUAUAUGAGUAAUAUUUUGUGCGGGGUUUAUUGAGAACGAGAAAUAAAAUAUAUGAGUAAUAUUUUGUGCGGGGUUUAUUAAGAACGAGAAAUACAAUAUAUUUAUAAC